UAGGGAAUCUUCGGCAAUGGGGGGAACCCUGACCGAGCAACGCCGCGUGAGUGAAGAAGGUUUUCGGAUCGUAAAGCUCUGUUGUUAAGGAAGAACGAGUGUGAGAAUGGAAAGUUCAUGCUGUGACGGUACUUAACCAGAAAGGGACGGCUAACUACGUGCCAGCAGCCGCGGUAAUACGUAGGUCCCGAGCGUUGUCCGGAUUUAUUGGGCGUAAAGCGAGCGCAGGCGGUUAGAAAAGCCUGAAGUGAAAGGCAGUGGCUCAACCAUUGUAGGCUUUGGAAACUGUUUAACUUGAGUGCAGAAGGGGAGAGUGGAAUUCCAUGUGUAGCGGUGAAAUGCGUAGAUAUAUGGAGGAACACCGGUGGCGAAAGCGGCUCUCUGGUCUGUAACUGACGCUGAGGCUCGAAAGCGUGGGGAGCGAACAGG
rnacentral:rRNA from 2 species